CCUUUCAAUUAUUUUUUUUGAAAAUUACAGAUUCACCCAAUAAAAGACCCAUCUUUCAAUUUAGUCCUUAACAUUUUCAAAAAGCCCUCUUCUCCAAAUCAACCAUUCUGUUACCACAAGUCAUCUUUAUCUUCCCAUUUCCUGCGAGCCCGUGAUAUUGAGAAGGAGAAUCCAAUCGGGUCUUCAGGUUUCAAGAAUCCGGGUUGUCAGAUUGUUUUCUUCUCGUCGACCAUUCAUUCGAGGUGGGGGCGCCGCCGCCGCCGCCUUAUACGACCGUAAGAGGUGUUGGAUUGGAUGGGGAGGAGAUGGUGCCCAUAACACCGACAAUGGGCUGCCGAUUUGGGGAGAUUUUUGCUUGAAUUUAGCAUUGGUUUUGAGGUGGAUGUCGAGAGGACAUCUCCGAAGCCAUAGCCGCCGACGACAAAGGUAUCGUCUCUAAUUUCCAUCUCCAGACUUCAAUUCUUGGUCGGGG
rnacentral:lncRNA from 1 species